rnacentral:rRNA from 1 species
AUACAGAGGGUGCGAGCGUUAAUCGGAAUUACUGGGCGUAAAGCGCGCGUAGGCGGCUUAUUAAGUCAGAUGUGAAAUCCCCGGGCUCAACCUGGGAACUGCAUCUGAUACUGGUAAGCUAGAGUUUUGGAGAGGGAAGUAGAAUUUCAGGUGCAGCGGUGAAAUGCAUAGAGAUCUGAAGGAAUACCAGUGGCGAAGGCGACUUCCUGGCCAAAAACUGACGCUGAGGUGCGAAAGCGUGGGUAGCAAACGGGAUUAGAAACCCUAGUAGUCC